rnacentral:tRNA from 1 species
GAGGGUAUAGCUCAGUGGUAGAGUGCAUGCCUAGCAUGCACAAGGUCCUGGGUUCAAUCCCCAGUACUGCCA